AAUCAACGCUGGCGGCGUGCCUAACACAUGCAAGUCGAACGCGAAAGGGGAGCAAUCCCUGAUUAGAGUGGCAAACGGGUGAGUAACACGUGGGUGACCUGCCUUCGAGUGGGGGAUAACCUUCCGAAAGGAGGGCUAAUACCGCAUGACAUACCGUGUUUGGAUACACGGAUAUCAAAGCCGGGGAUCGCAAGACCUGGCGCUUGGAGAGGGGCCCGCGUCCGAUUAGCUAGUUGGGAGGUAACGGCUCACCAAGGCUCCGAUCGGUAUCCGGCCUGAGAGGGCGGACGGACACACUGGAACUGAGACACGGUCCAGACUCCUACGGGAGGCAGCAGUGGGGAAUUGUUCGCAAUGGGCGAAAGCCUGACGACGCAACGCCGCGUGGAGGAUGAGGAA
rnacentral:rRNA from 1 species